rnacentral:rRNA from 1 species
UAGGGAAUCUUCCGCAAUGGACGCAAGUCUGACGGAGCAACGCCGCGUGAGUGAAGAAGGAUUUCGGUUCGUAAAACUCUGUUGUUAGAGAAGAACAGCGCAUAGAGUAACUGUUAUGCGUGUGACGGUAUCUAACCAGAAAGCCACGGCUAACUACGUGCCAGCGGCCGCGGUAAUACGUAGGUGGCAAGCGUUGUCCGGAUUUAUUGGGCGUAAAGCGAGCGCAGGCGGUCAAUUAAGUCUGAUGUGAAAGCCCCCGGCUCAACCGGGGAGGGUCAUUGGAAACUGGUUGACUUGAGUGCAGAAGAGGAGAGUGGAAUUCCAUGUGUAGCGGUGAAAUGCGUAGAUAUAUGGAGGAACACCAGUGGCGAAGGCGACUCUCUGGUCUGUAACUGACGCUGAGGUUCGAAAGCGUGGGUAGCAAACAGG